rnacentral:lncRNA from 1 species
GGUAAACAUUGAUCCCUGACUCAAUGUACCAAUGACUUGGAAUAUUUAAGAUUAGGAUUUUAGGAUUUUAGGUCUCACUAGUAUGAUCUCAUCAUAGCCUCAAAACCAUUGCCCUAAUCUAAGGGAUUUAUCACAAAUAUAAUCAACAGCAUAUGAUAAAAACACAAUGCCUUUAUUCAUAUUUAAAUGUCAUGUACAUGAUUUGGAAAAUCAAAAGAAAAUCCUUUGCAAUACAUAUUG